AAAUCAACGUUGGCGGCGCGCCUAACACAUGCAAGUCGAACGAGAAAGUGGAGCAAUCCAUGAGUACAGUGGCGUACGGGUGAGUAACACGUGGGUAAUCUGCCUGUUAGUGGGGAAUAACCCUGGGAAACCGGGGCUAAUACCGCAUAAGUUCGUAAGAAGAAAGUCGCAAGACGCUGACAGAGGAGCCCGCGGCCGAUUAGCUAGUUGGCAGGGUAAAGCCUACCAAGGCUUCGAUCGGUAGCCGGCCUGAGAGGGCACACGGCCACACUGGCACUGAAACACGGGCCAGACUCCUACGGGAGGCAGCAGUGGGGAAUCUUGCACAAUGGGGGAAACCCUGAUGCAGCGACGCCGCGUGAGUGAUGAAGCCCUUCGGGGUGUAAAGCUCUUUUCGACGGGAACGAUUAUGACGGUACCCGGAGAAGAAGCUGCGG
rnacentral:rRNA from 1 species